rnacentral:rRNA from 1 species
UACGUAGGGGGCGAGCGUUGUCCGGAAUUACUGGGCGUAAAGGGCGCGUAGGCGGCCCGUUAAGUCCGCUGUGAAAGACCGAGGCUCAACCUCGGGGUGUCAGCGGAGACUGGGGGGCUGGAGUCUCGGAGAGGGAUGCGGAAUACCUGGUGUAGCGGUGGAAUGCGUAGAGAUCAGGUGGAACACCGAUGGCGAAGGCAGCAUCCUGGCCGAGGACUGACGCUGAGGCGCGAAAGCGUGGGGAGCGAACGGG